rnacentral:lncRNA from 1 species
UUUCAGUCGUAUUCCUGAGCGUACAGUAAAAUUUUGAAGUCCUUAAUGGGAUGGUACCAGGUGGUUUGGGGGGUCGGAAUGAAAUCGUAGGAUAUAGUUUGGUUCUUGAAUGUAACGUUUUCAAAUAAAUACACUACGUUAGGGAAUACGACUGAAAUUGGGGACGCCGCGAAUGCGGUCUAAUAGCAAUUUGGUUUUGACUUGAGGGAGUGGUUUCGCGAACCAGGCAGGGAUGCUAAGUUACUCUCUGCUGCGAAUUGCUGGAGGCUAGUUUCUUCAUUGACAGUAUCCGAGCUGGAGCUGAUGACAUCACUGUUGCCAUGGCGACAGGGCUCCGACAGACCGCUGAAGUUGCGCACCCAGGGCCAUUGUAGGCUGUUAUAGCAGAUCUGUGGAAGAGAUCUUAUCAAAACAAGGAAAAACAAGGGGUUAAUCUUACUCUCUUUCCAGCUGGACAAAAUUUUCUCAGAAUCUACAAAGACUCCUUGGAAAGAGAAACAAUUUGCUCCUGAAAUAAAGUUGCAGCCCUCCACAGAGAGACAGCAGUGAAUCAGGAACUAAAAGGACGGCCGUCCCCA